rfam:Frankia sp. CcI3, complete genome.
UAAACCGGCCUUAGGAUAAGGAGUAGCGAUCCACGACGACCCCGAGCCAUGUGGCUGCUUCCGCAAGGGGGCGGCUGAAGCGUUGGUAGGGGCACGUGUAGGCCAGGCUAUUGAGCCGCGAAAUGAGAAGACCGGGUGCGCCGACGUGGUCGAAAGCACGGAAGGCAACACCGUCGCGAGCGCUAGACGCGAGUUCGGGACGGGCCCCGCGCGGUCGGAGAACC